rnacentral:piRNA from 1 species
UACAUUUCAAAUGUCCUCCUUCCUGGUUU